AAGACCGGUGACCUACAAAAUAUGCAAAAACCAUGGCACGACGGAAGCACGACGUCCCAAAGUGAACAUUUGAGACGAAAACGUGGGGGCUGAUGCAGCAGAGGAAUGUCCGAAAAAAACAAGCAGCGAUGGAGAACUACAUGGGGAACAAGACACUCACCCCCAGCAAUGCAUACCACUUACAAACUCUAUUCCAGAUUCUACAUUAUUUUUUAUGGAAUUUACCUCUUAUAUUUUGAUGCCAAAAAAUUAUUCUGGACUGAUAUUUUGCACUGUUUAGCUCAUUUUACACUGCUGACUGUGGUCAUGUGCAAUAAAAUAGAUUGCAGUCAACUGCACAAUUC